ACUCUGGUUGAUCCUGCCAGAGGCUACUGCUAUCGGGGUCCGACUAAGCCAUGCGAGUUGAGAGGGGUAAGCCCUCGGCAUAUUGCUCAGUAACACGCGGAUAACCUGCCCUUGGGUUCGGGAUAACCCCGGGAAA
rnacentral:rRNA from 1 species